AGGAUGAACGCUGGCGGCGUGCCUAACACAUGCAAGUCGAACGUCCUGUCUCGCAAGAGGCAGGGAGUGGCGGACGGGUGAGUACCACGUGGGUUAUCUACCGUGAGGUGAGGAAUACCGGCGAGAAAUCGCCGACAAGACCGCAUAGCCUCGGUGCAAGCCGAGCAAAGCUCUUUCGAGAGAGGGAGCGCCACACGAGGAGCCUGCGCCCGAUUAGCUAGCUGGUGGAGUAACGGUUCACCAGGGCGACGAUCGGUAGCUGGUCUGAGAGGACGAUCAGCCACACUGGGAUUGAGAACGGCCCAGACUCCUACGGGGGGCAGCAGUGAGGAAUUUUCGUCAAUGGGGGCAACCCUGAACGAGCAACGCCGCGUGCAGGAAGAAGGUUUUCGGAUCGUAAACUGCUUUUCUCGGGGACGAGCAAGGACGGUACCCGAGGAAGAAGCCCCGGCUAACUACGUGCCAGCAGCCGCGGU
rnacentral:rRNA from 1 species